rnacentral:rRNA from 1 species
AUACAAUGAAGAGUUUGAUCCUGGCUCAGGAUGAACGCUAGCGACAGGCCUAACACAUGCAAGUCGAGGGGCAGCACGAGGUAGCAAUACUUUGGUGGCGACCGGCGCACGGGUGCGUAACGCGUAUGCAACCUACCUGUAAUUGGGGGAUAGCCUUCCGAAAGGAAGAUUAACACCGCAUAAGACAAUAGAUCCGCAUGGAUUAGUUGUUAAAUAUUUAUAGAUUACGGAUGGGCAUGCGUCUGAUUAGAUAGUUGGUAGGGUAACGGCCUACCAAGUCUGCGAUCAGUAGGGGUUCUGAGAGGAAGGUCCCCCACACCGGAACUGAGACACGGUCCGGACUCCUACGGGAGGCAGCAGUGAGGAAUAUUGGUCAAUGGGCGAGAGCCUGAACCAGCCAAGUCGCGUGAAGGAAGAAUGUCCUAUGGAUUGUAAACUUCUUUUGUAGGGGGAUAAAAAAGAGUACGUGUACUCUCUUGUAGGUACCCUACGAAUAAGGAUCGGCUAACUCCGUGCCAGCAGCCGCGGUAAUACGGAGGAUCCAAGCGUUAUCCGGAUUUAUUGGGUUUAAAGGGUGCGUAGGCGGGCUGUUAAGUCAGUGGUGAAAGGUUGACGCUCAACGUUAACAUUGCCAUUGAAACUGGCGGUCUUGAGUGCAAAUGAGGCAGGCGGAAUGUGUUGUGUAGCGGUGAAAUGCAUAGAUAUGACACAGAACACCAAUUGCGAAGGCAGCUUGCUGGAAUGUAACUGACGCUGAGGCACGAAAGCGUGGGGAUCAAACAGGAUUAGAUACCCUGGUAGUCCACGCAGUAAACGAUGAUUACUAGCUGUUAGCGAUAGAAUGUUAGUGGCUAAGCGAAAGCGAUAAGUAAUCCACCUGGGGAGUACGUUCGCAAGAAUGAAACUCAAAGGAAUUGACGGGGGCCCGCACAAGCGGAGGAACAUGUGGUUUAAUUCGAUGAUACGCGAGGAACCUUACCCGGGCUUGAAAUGCAUCUGACGAACUUGGAAACAGGUUUUCUAGCAAUAGCAGAUGUGUAGGUGCUGCAUGGUUGUCGUCAGCUCGUGCCGUGAGGUGUCGGCUUAAGUGCCAUAACGAGCGCAACCCUUGUCAUUAGUUACUAACAGGUUAAGCUGAGGACUCUAAUGAGACUGCCAUCGUAAGAUGCGAGGAAGGUGGGGAUGACGUCAAAUCAGCACGGCCCUUACGUCCGGGGCGACACACGUGUUACAAUGGAGGGUACAGAGGGUCGCUACCUAGUGAUAGGAUGCUAAUCUCGAAAGCCUUUCGUAGUUCGGAUUGGAGUCUGCAACUCGACUCCAUGAAGCCGGAUUCGCUAGUAAUCGCGCAUCAGCCAUGGCGCGGUGAAUACGGUCCCGGGCCUUGUACACACCGCCCGUCAAGCCAUGGGAGUUGGGGGUGCCUAAAGAUUGUGACCGCAAGGAGCGAUUUAGGGCAAAACCAGUGACUGGGGCUAAGUCGUAACAAGGUAGCCGUACCGGAAGGUGUGGCUGGAACACCUCCUUUCU